rnacentral:rRNA from 1 species
GGAAUAUUGGACAAUGGGGGGAACCCUGAUCCAGCGACGCCGCGUGAGUGAAGAAGUAUUUCGGUAUGUAAAGCUCUAUCAGCAGGGAAGAAGAAAAUGACGGUACCUGACUAAGAAGCCCCGGCUAACUACGUGCCAGCAGCCGCGGUAAUACGUAUGGGGCAAGCGUUAUCCGGAUUUACUGGGUGUAAAGGGAGCGUAGGCGGCCUGGCAAGCCUGAUGUGAAAUACCGGGGCCCAACCCCGGGGCUGCAUUGGGAACUGCCAGGCUGGAGUGCCGGAGAGGCAGGCGGAAUUCCUAGUGUAGCGGUGAAAUGCGUAGAUAUUAGGAGGAACACCAGUGGCGAAGGCGGCCUGCUGGACGGUGACUGACGCUGAGGCUCGAAAGUGUGGGGAGCAAA